AGUACUUUCAGUAUUUAUGUCUUAUUUGGGGACCCUUGAGUCUGGAAUUGUACCCUCAAGCUUGGUGCUAAAGAAUCAUCUCAUACUUAGAGCAUCUGUAUUUUCACAGCAGGUACUCUGUCCAAGAAAGAAGUGUGAGGAAAAACAUCAGCCACAGAAAAUGCAUCCCCAGGUCACAAUCUAGGAAGCUAGCACACCAAAAACCCUGACAGAAACUACAGAAGUAGGUCAACUGCAAAGAUGCUGUGAGAGCCUACAUUCGUUCUUGAGGAAUAAAUUUCAUUCAAUAAGGAAGUUUAAACCAAGCUGGAAAGGUGUACAGCACUGGAUGAAGGGCAGCGAUGCUGUUUCCCAUGGUGAGAAAGAGACAGCGGCUUUGCGUCACCAAGGUCAGUCCCUGAACUAUUGAGGAUGGAGCUGCCUGUUUUUAAAAGGGCAAUCCCACCAGAUACAGAAUCCCAGUUCAGCUGCAGAGAAGUGGACAUUUUCUGAGCCAAGUCUCCUGUUCCUCUUGCCAGCCAGGGGUCAGCAAGAGUGUCAGUCACAACUCCAGUCUGUGACAUGUGAGAUAUCUGCUAGUUCUGCUGGGGGCAUUUUCCUCCAUCUUAAGAUGGAUCAUAAAAUGAGGAUGAAAUGGCCUCAGUGUUGUCUGCGGAUGGCCCCGUUGAACCGCAUCAGCCACCUUACAGUCACGAGGGAGCAGCUUGAUGACAAAAGGCAGAAAGAAAAGAUGAGGGGAACUUGGCCCUUGAUAUCUGCAGAGCCACUCAAUUAACUUCCCCCAGGGACCUGUUCUUCCUCCGAGCUUUUUUAUGAGGGAAGAUGACCUCUCUUUAUUGUUCAGUCAUUUGAGUUGAGCUCCG